UCUAUUUGUUUUAACACAAGCACAAAACUACCAAAUCGUUUUUUUUUCUUUAAUUAUAUAACCAAAAAAUUCAAAUCCAAGUUCAUAUUUUAAAUGUUAAAUAUAUUAACCAAUUUUUAAGUUCAAAUAAUUUCUAAAACAACUAUAGAUAAAAUAAAUGUGUUGUUUUUCUUGGACCGUUGAUUAAUUAUGAUCUAAAGGUCAAAAGUCAUUAUCUCCAUGCUAUUUUCUUAUUGGUUGAUUCUUGGAAUCAUUGAUCACUAUUUUUGACCAUUGGAUUAAAUAAAUCAAUGGCUAAGAAUCAAUCUGUCACACAUCUCUCUCACUUCUCUAACUCUAUCGAUUCUUUUCCUCUCCUCCUCUGUAUCAUUUUCCUUCUCUCUCUCACUGUCUCAAACACAUACUUUCCGAUUUAUGUAACACACAGAUCUCCUUUCUCUGUAUCACUCUCCUCAUCCCUCCUUACACACACACGAAUCUGGAGGUGGAGCCGAGCCCAGCGACCCCGGAUCUGAAGAUACCGGACCACCGCCAUCUCUCCCAUUCGUCACCGUCCUCUCUAACUUCCACUAAUGUGGUGGUCGCUGGGUUUACGGCUCGGAGGAGAUGGAGAAGCUGGUGUUCGUGAGCAGAGGUGUUCAUCGGGCUUGCAGCGAGGAGGCGACAGAGAAGCUGGUUAACGUGGCCGUGAGCAGAGAUGGUGAUCUGUGGUUGUGAAGAGCCAUGAGCAGAGGCUGGUGAUUUGGUGUUCAUUGGGUCUGUAGCUAGGCGGCAACGGAGCAGCUCGUACGGCAGCCAUUAGGGUUAGAUUAGGUUUUCUUUUAAAUUGGGUUUAGUUCUUUUUUUUUGUAAUUCAAUUUUUAUCUGUAAAUCAAUUUUAAUAUUAUAAUUUUAAUUUCCGUAUAUAA